GAUGAACGCUGGCGGCGUGCCUAAUACAUGCAAGUCGAGCGAACGGACGAGAAGCUUGCUUCUCUGAUGUUAGCGGCGGACGGGUGAGUAACACGUGGAUAACCUACCUAUAAGACUGGGAUAACUUCGGGAAACCGUAGCUAAUACCGGAUAAUAUUUUGAACCGCAUGGUUCAAAAGUGAAAGACGGUCUUGCUGUCACUUAUAGAUGGAUCCGCGCUGCAUUAGCUAGUUGGUAAGGUAACGGCUUACCAAGGCAACGAUGCAUAGCCGACCUGAGAGGGUGAUCGGCCACACUGGAACUGAGACACGGUCCAGACUCCUACGGGAGGCAGCAGUAGGGAAUCUUCCGCAAUGGGCGAAAGCCUGACGGAGCAACGCCGCGUGAGUGAUGAGGGUCUUCGGAUCGUAAAACUCUGUUAUUAGGGAAGAACAUAUGUGUAAGUAACUGUGCACAUCUUGACGGUACCUAAUCAGAAAGCCACGGCUAACUACGUGCCAGCAGCCGCGGUAAUACGUAGGUGGCAAGCGUUAUCCGGAAUUAUUGGGCGUAAAGCGCGCGUAGGCGGUUUUUUAAGUCUGAUGUGAAAGCCCACGGCUCAACCGUGGAGGGUCAUUGGAAACUGGAAAACUUGAGUGCAGAAGAGGAAAGUGGAAUUCCAUGUGUAGCGGUGAAAUGCGCAGAGAUAUGGAGGAACACCAGUGGCGAAGGCGACUUUCUGGUCUGUAACUGACGCUGAUGUGCGAAAGCGUGGGGAUCAAACAGGAUUAGAUACCCUGGUAGUCCACGCCGUAAACGAUGAGUGCUAAGUGUUAGGGGGUUUCCGCCCCUUAGUGCUGCAGCUAACGCAUUAAGCACUCCGCCUGGGGAGUACGACCGCAAGGUUGAAACUCAAAGGAAUUGACGGGGACCCGCACAAGCGGUGGAGCAUGUGGUUUAAUUCGAAGCAACGCGAAGAACCUUACCAAAUCUUGACAUCCUUUGACAACUCUAGAGAUAGAGCCUUCCCCUUCGGGGGGCAAAGUGACAGGUGGUGCAUGGUUGUCGUCAGCUCGUGUCGUGAGAUGUUGGGUUAAGUCCCGCAACGAGCGCAACCCUUAAGCUUAGUUGCCAUCAUUAAGUUGGGCACUCUAAGUUGACUGCCGGUGACAAACCGGAGGAAGGUGGGGAUGACGUCAAAUCAUCAUGCCCCUUAUGAUUUGGGCUACACACGUGCUACAAUGGACAAUACAAAGGGCAGCGAAACCGCGAGGUCAAGCAAAUCCCAUAAAGUUGUUCUCAGUUCGGAUUGUAGUCUGCAACUCGACUACAUGAAGCUGGAAUCGCUAGUAAUCGUAGAUCAGCAUGCUACGGUGAAUACGUUCCCGGGUCU
rnacentral:rRNA from 1 species